CAUGAUCCAAAGUAUCAUAGAUGAUCACUUGAUCAUCCAUUAGUAGGUUUGAAACAAGGAAGGUUUAAGCAACCCUAAAGAAAUCCAUAUCACGACCACAGUAGAUUUUAUUAGCCCAUGGAUUCAAGACUUCAUAAGUCCCUAAAAAAAUAUCCAAAUGAGUUGAAAUAGAACAAAAUCAAAUGCUAUAGGUAAAAAUA
rnacentral:lncRNA from 1 species